GGGUUGUGAGGUUAAGCGACUAAGCGUACACGGUGGAUGCCCUGGCAGUCAGAGGCGAUGAAGGACGUGCUAAUCUGCGAAAAGCGUCGGUAAGGUGAUAUGAACCGUUACAGCCGGCGAUGUCCGAAUGGGGAAACCCAGUGCAAUUCGUUGCACUAUCGUUAACUGAAUACAUAGGUUAACGAGGCGAACCGGGGGAACUGAAACAUCUAAGUACCCCGAGGAAAAGAAAUCAACCGAGAUUCCCCCAGUAGCGGCGAGCGAACGGGGAGCAGCCCAGAGUCUGAAUCAGCUUGUGUGUUAGUGGAACGGUCUGGAAAGUCCGACGGUACAGGGUGAUAGUCCCGUACACCAAAAUGCACAGGCUGUGAACUCGAAGAGUAGGGCGGGACACGUGGUAUCCUGUCUGAAUAUGGGGGGACCAUCCUCCAAGGCUAAAUACUCCUGACUGACCGAUAGUGAACCAGUACCGUGAGGGAAAGGCGAAAAGAACCCCGGCGAGGGGAGUGAAAAAGAACCUGAAACCGUGUACGUACAAGCAGUGGGAGCACCUUCGGGUGUGACUGCGUACCUUUUGUAUAAUGGGUCAGCGACUUAUAUUCUGUAGCAAGGUUAACCGUAUAGGGGAGCCGCAGGGAAACCGAGUCUUAACUGGGCGUUAAGUUGCAGGGUAUAGACCCGAAACCCGGUGAUCUAGCCAUGGGCAGGUUGAAGGUUGGGUAACACUAACUGGAGGACCGAACCGACUAAUGUUGAAAAAUUAGCGGAUGACUUGUGGCUGGGGGUGAAAGGCCAAUCAAACCGGGAGAUAGCUGGUUCUCCCCGAAAGCUAUUUAGGUAGCGCCUCGUGAACUCAUCUUCGGGGGUAGAGCACUGUUUCGGCUAGGGGGUCAUCCCGACUUACCAACCCGAUGCAAACUACGAAUACCGAAGAAUGUUAUCACGGGAGACACACGGCGGGUGCUAACGUCCGUCGUGAAGAGGGAAACAACCCAGACCGCCAGCUAAGGUCCCAAAGUCAUGGUUAAGUGGGAAACGAUGUGGGAAGGCACAGACAGCCAGGAUGUUGGCUUAGAAGCAGCCAUCAUUUAAAGAAAGCGUAAUAGCUCACUGGUCGAGUCGGCCUGCGCGGAAGAUGUAACGGGGCUAAACCAUGCACCGAAGCUGCGGCAGCGACACUAUGUGUUGUUGGGUAGGGGAGCGUUCUGUAAGCCUGCGAAGGUGUGCUGUGAGGCAUGCUGGAGGUAUCAGAAGUGCGAAUGCUGACAUAAGUAACGAUAAAGCGGGUGAAAAGCCCGCUCGCCGGAAGACCAAGGGUUCCUGUCCAACGUUAAUCGGGGCAGGGUGAGUCGACCCCUAAGGCGAGGCCGAAAGGCGUAGUCGAUGGGAAACAGGUUAAUAUUCCUGUACUUGGUGUUACUGCGAAGGGGGGACGGAGAAGGCUAUGUUAGCCGGGCGACGGUUGUCCCGGUUUAAGCAUGUAGGCUGGUUGUCCAGGCAAAUCCGGAUAAUCAAGGCUGAGGUGUGAUGACGAGGCACUACGGUGCUGAAGUAACAAAUGCCCUGCUUCCAGGAAAAGCCUCUAAGCAUCAGGUAACAUUAAAUCGUACCCCAAACCGACACAGGUGGUCAGGUAGAGAAUACCAAGGCGCUUGAGAGAACUCGGGUGAAGGAACUAGGCAAAAUGGUGCCGUAACUUCGGGAGAAGGCACGCUGGUGUGUAGGUGAAGUCCCUGCGGAUGGAGCUGAGACCAGUCGAAGAUACCAGCUGGCUGCAACUGUUUAUUAAAAACACAGCACUGUGCAAACACGAAAGUGGACGUAUACGGUGUGACGCCUGCCCGGUGCCGGAAGGUUAAUUGAUGGGGUUAUCCGUAAGGAGAAGCUCUUGAUCGAAGCCCCGGUAAACGGCGGCCGUAACUAUAACGGUCCUAAGGUAGCGAAAUUCCUUGUCGGGUAAGUUCCGACCUGCACGAAUGGCGUAAUGAUGGCCAGGCUGUCUCCACCCGAGACUCAGUGAAAUUGAACUCGCUGUGAAGAUGCAGUGUACCCGCGGCAAGACGGAAAGACCCCGUGAACCUUUACUAUAGCUUGACACUGAACAUUGAGCCUUGAUGUGUAGGAUAGGUGGGAGGCUUUGAAGCGUGGACGCCAGUCUGCGUGGAGCCAACCUUGAAAUACCACCCUUUAAUGUUUGAUGUUCUAACGUUGGCCCCUUACCGGGGUUGCGGACAGUGUCUGGUGGGUAGUUUGACUGGGGCGGUCUCCUCCCAAAGCGUAACGGAGGAGCACGAAGGUUAGCUAAUCCUGGUCGGACAUCAGGAGGUUAGUGCAAUGGCAUAAGCUAGCUUGACUGCGAGCGUGACGGCGCGAGCAGGUGCGAAAGCAGGUCAUAGUGAUCCGGUGGUUCUGAAUGGAAGGGCCAUCGCUCAACGGAUAAAAGGUACUCCGGGGAUAACAGGCUGAUACCGCCCAAGAGUUCAUAUCGACGGCGGUGUUUGGCACCUCGAUGUCGGCUCAUCACAUCCUGGGGCUGAAGUAGGUCCCAAGGGUAUGGCUGUUCGCCAUUUAAAGUGGUACGCGAGCUGGGUUUAGAACGUCGUGAGACAGUUCGGUCCCUAUCUGCCGUGGGCGCUGGAGAAUUGAGGGGGGCUGCUCCUAGUACGAGAGGACCGGAGUGGACGCAUCACUGGUGUUCGGGUUGUCAUGCCAAUGGCACUGCCCGGUAGCUAAAUGCGGAAGAGAUAAGUGCUGAAAGCAUCUAAGCACGAAACUUGCCCCGAGAUGAGUUCUCCCUGAGACUUUAAGUCUCCUGAAGGAACGUUAAAGACGAUGACGUUGAUAGGCCGGGUGUGUAAGCGCAGCGAUGCGUUGAGCUAACCGGUACUAAUGAACCGUGAGGCUUAACCUUACAACGCCGAAG
rnacentral:rRNA from 1 species